rnacentral:rRNA from 1 species
CAGCAGCCGCGGUAAUACCGGCGGCCCGAGUGGCGGUCACUAUUAAUGGGCUUAAAGCGUCCGUAGCCGGGUUGGGAAGUCCUCCGGGAAAUCUGGCCGCUUAACGGUCAGAAUGCCGGAGGAUACUCCCAGCCUAGGGAGCGGGAGAGGCCGAGGGGAUUCCCGGGGUAGGGGUGAAAUCCUAUAAUCCCGGGAGGACCACCUGGGGCGGAGGCGCUCGGCUGGAACGCGGCCGACGGUGAGGGACGAAGGCCAGGGGAGCAAACCGGAUUAGAUACCCGGGUAGUCCUGGCUGUAAACGAUGCGGACGUUGUGUCGGACAAGCUAUGAGCUUGUCCGGUGCCGGAGGGAAACCGUUAAGUCCGCCGCCUGGGGAGUACGGCCGCAAGGCUGAAACUUAAAGGAAUUGGCGGG